rnacentral:rRNA from 1 species
AUGGCAGAUUUAUUUCAUGAAAGAUAUGGACACACUAAUUUUACAAAGCUACAGAUUCAAGAAAAACAGAAAGACUUGAAAGCUCAAUACAGACUUCUUAAGGAUGCCCGCAAACAGAGCGGUGUCAGCUGGAACUAUCAUACACACAUGAUAGAUGCUGACGCAUAUCUUUGGCAAAACUUGAUGAGUCCGUGGCCAGAAAUAGCUAAGUUCCAGAAUAAGCCCUUUCCCCUCUACGAUAAGCUUGGUGAUCUGUAUGAUGGACAUAUAGCAGAAGGUAACUUCAAUUUCACAUCAACUGAGGUUACAGAAGUGAGUGAUGGUGAUCUCGAAGUUGAAAGAGAGAAGACUGCCUUCUCUUUUGACCUGAAUCAAUACGGUGAUGAUUUACACAUGUAUGAUGAUCCAAGAGAUGCCGCCCCAAGUGAUGGUCCAAGUGAUGCUGCCCCAAGUGAUGGUCCCAGAGAUGCUGCCCCAAGUGAUGGUUCAAGAGAUGCUACACAAAGAGGUGGUGUUGCUACUUCAAAUAACAAGCAUGUGAAGGAAUCAAAGAAGGGUAAGAAGCGUGAUGAUCCUAUGGUGGAAGUGAUGUCACAAUAUGUGGAGGUCAAACGGAAGCAAGUGGAGGAGGAGUCUGCUCUAUUGGCCGGGGCAAAAAAUGCCCAAGAAUUCUCCAUCAGCAAGUGCAUUGUUGUUUUGCACAAGAUGGAAAGUAUCCACCGCGAUGAAAGAGCCACUGCCUACAAAGUGUUCAAAAGUGUUGAGAACCGUGAGAUCUUUCUUAAUUCUGCCGCUGAAGAUGAAGAAAGUGCUGCAGUGUUUCUUCGGAGCGAAAUGGCAGAGUUGACUCAACGUAUCUAA